AUUGAACGCUGGCGGCAGGCCUAACACAUGCAAGUCGAACGAGUGGCGGACGGGUGAGUAGUGUCUGGGAAACUGCCCGAUGGAGGGGGAUAACUACUGGAAACGGUAGCUAAUACCGCAUACCAUCGGAUGUGCCCAUAUGGGAUUAGCUAGUAGGUGGGGUAACGGCUCACCUAGGCGACGAUCCCUAGCUGGUCUGAGAGGAUGACCGGCCACACUGGAACGGAGACACGGCCCAGACGCCUACGGGAGGCAGCAGUGGGGAAUCUUGCACAAUGGGCGCAAGCCUGAUGGAGCAAUGCCGCGUGUGUGAAGAAGGCUUGCGGGUUGUAAAGUACUUUCGUCGAGGAGGCGGUACCCGCAGAAAAAGCACCGGCUAACUCCGUGCCAGCAGCCGCGGUAAUAC
rnacentral:rRNA from 1 species